rnacentral:rRNA from 1 species
UGGGGAAUUUUGGACAAUGGGCGAAAGCCUGAUCCAGCAAUGCCGCGUGUGUGAAGAAGGCCUUCGGGUUGUAAAGCACUUUUGUCCGGAAAGAAAUCCUCUGGGUUAAUACCUCGGGGGGAUGACGGUACCGGAAGAAUAAGCACCGGCUAACUACGUGCCAGCAGCCGCGGUAAUACGUAGGGUGCAAGCGUUAAUCGGAAUUACUGGGCGUAAAGCGUGCGCAGGCGGUUUUGUAAGACGGAUGUGAAAUCCCCGGGCUUAACCUGGGGAACUGCAUUCGUGACUGCAAGGCUAGAGUAUGGCAGAGGGGGGUAGAAUUCCACGUGUGAGCAGUGAAAUGCGUAGAGAUGUGGAGGAAUACCGAUGGCGAAGGCAGCCCCCUGGGCCAAUACUGACGCUCAUGCACGAAAGCGUGGGGAGCAAACAGGAUUCAGGAUACCCUGGUAGUCCACGCCCUAAACGAUGUC